rnacentral:lncRNA from 1 species
AGCUCAUGUGUUCAAGGCCGAUCUUCCAGGGCUUAAAAAGGAGGAAGUGAAAGUGGAGAUCGAAGAAGAUAGGGUUCUUCAAAUUAGCGGAGAGAGGAAUGUGGAGAAAGAAGAUAAGAAUGAUAAGUGGCAUCGCGUGGAACGCAGCAGUGGGAAAUUCAUGAGAAGAUUUAGACUUCCGGAGAAUGCGAAGAUGGAUCAAGUUAAGGCUUCGAUGGAGAAUGGAGUGCUUACUGUUACUGUUCCAAAGGAACAAGUGAAGAAGCCUGAUGUCAAGUCCAUUGAGAUCUCUGGUUAAAAGUCCAUUUGUGAAUUAAGUAGUAGUAUAUGAUAUAUGGGCAAAUAAAGAACUGAUUCCGUUGUGUCUGUUGAAGAUUUGAAGUUACUCUGUUUUUCUAUUGAAGUGUUGAGUCGGCUCUGUUUCUAGCCUAAUGGCGUAAUUGUACUUUCUUUGAAAUUCCAUGUUGAAUAUGAAAUAUUAGUCCUUUGAUUCUGUUCCAAUUCCUCUAUGUUGUUUUUUGAUAAUAAACAUUUAUCAUUCAUUUCUUUGAAUGAAUGUAAAUACCAAUCAAUAUAACAUAACCUUAACGUAAAUAUGUGGCAUAAAUUCGAUCUACUAUGUAUUUUCCAACGAACGGUAAAAUAGACGUAUCGGAAGCUCUUUUUCUCAUAAUGAAAGCAAGUAAGAAUGAAAUGAGUGCUUACUCAAUGGAUUAAAGAACUACAACGAUUCGAAUUCCAUUUUCCAAAUACAAACAUUCAAUAUUAUGCUAAGUAAUCAAGUUUUACGUCCUCUGAUUUAAUUUAUUUAUGUACAGUUUUUCUUUAUGUCUGUCCUUAGAAAAUGACAAUUUAUAUAAUUGAAAUCAACUUGAAUAUUUUAAAUUAUAAAUUUUAAAAAAAUAAAUCUAUUUGAAACUUUUGAAUCCAAAUAAACAAACGUAAAUUAAAAUGGCUAAAGUAAAUACCAAAAGAAAUAUAUGAAAGAAAUUUUUUUGAGUCCACAUAAAAAUUAUUGAAAUAUAAAAUUAUAUGAUUAAGUAAUUUUAUAAAGAAAUAUUUUAGUAAAUGUCUUUUUUUGUGGAUACAAACCAAAAACAUAAAUUACGUUUUAUAAUUAUGACUAGACACCAAUGCCCAUACUAGUACGGAUUCAAUAUCUGUUAUUUUUUUGUCUCACUUCAUGUGAUACAGAUAAAAUUUACAGAGUCAAUUAAAUUUUAAUAUGAUUUUUAAAUAUUUUAAGUUGUUAAUUAUUGUAAUUUUUUAAUGUAAUUUUUAAAUAAUAUGUGUUACUUCCCUUGUCCCAAUAUAUGUAGCACAUAUAGAAAUUUAAGAGUCAAUCAAAUAUUGUUAAUUAUUGAGAUGCACAAUACUUUUUAUGUAGUUUCUAAAUUAAAUAAUACACGUUACUUCUUUUAUCCCAUUUUAUGUGACACAAAUAGAUUAGUUUUAUGAAUCAAUUGAUUUUUUAUAAGUAAUCGACAAAUAUUUUAGGUUGUCAAUUAUCAUGUUACGCAAUUUUUAAAUAUAUAUAAAAAAUUAACAAUAAGACAAAUAAAUUAAAACGAAAGAAAAAAGUAGGCAAAUAUAUAUGUAAGUGUGGAACCACACAGUCGAUACAUGCAUGUUGACAGUCACAUGUGUGGUUAUCCACACUUAUAUAUAAGUAGUAGUGACCUUUUCAUUAAGCCUAGGGGUGUACGUGAUCGGGUUAUUUCCGUUUUUUUAAAUAUCACAACAAAUUUUGUGUCAAAAUUUUAAAUUUAUAAACCAAUCUAAACUAAUAAAACAAGGGAUUUUCAAUCUCGGAUUUUUUCGGGUUGGUUUGGAUUUUUCAAAUACCAAACCAAAUUAUUUGUGUCGAAUUUUUAAAAUUUUAAAUCAAUACAAACUAAUAAACCUCAGAUUUUUUGGGGGGUUUUAAAUUUUUCUGAUAAAGUAUUCAUACAAACAUAUUAUUAACUUGUGCUCCAAAUAUUUUUUUAGUUCAAUUAAAAUAUAACCAUCUAAAGUGUUUCUUAAGAAAAUAACACAAAAUAUGAGAUGAGUGAUGAUACUAAAAUAUGAGAUAAAGAAUAAUAUAAUAAUGAAAUCAUAUAAAAUAACUAUUGCAAAUUAAAUUGAUAAGUCAUAAUGAAAUUGAUCAUAAUUUAAAAAGUACUUAACCAUGCUAAAAUAAAUCUAAGAAAUAUUAAUUACGUGAUUAAACAUUAAAGAAAAUUUAAAAUUAGGCUAUAUAUUUUAAAUGUCAAGACCAAUGUAAAACUAAAGAACAAAUCUUCAACAUUAAAGUCAUUUUUAGUGUUGAAUUAAUUAUCUUGAUAGCAUUAGUAUUGAUUUGAUUUUGAAUUGAGCUUAAUUAGUGUUACUAAUAACCCUUCAGGGUGGCGCAGUGGUUUGGGCUUGGGACUUCCAUGUUGGAGGUCUCAAAUUCGAAACUUCUUGCCAACGAAAGCAAGGGGUUUGCCUUCUUGGUCGAUCUCAUUGCACCGGACUUGCCUAGUGCGGGUUACCUCUCCUAUAUGGUUUGCAAGUUAUUGCUUAGGAGCGGAGGUUUUACCCUAUGUGCACCCAAAUGAUAGCAACUGCGGGUUUCCCUCAGCAUCAAAAAAGUUACUAAUAUCACUUUUAUUAGAUCAUUGAAACUUUCAAGUCUCAAAAAACUUGAAAAAAUAUGUUAAAAAAUAAAAAUUAUGAAAAUAUACAAGUAAUAUAUAAAAAUUACAUCAAAGUAAAUACUUUUAUGUAUAAAAUAAUUUAAAAAAUUAUAUAUAUAUAUAUAUAUAAUGCCGAAUUGAUUUGAUCUAGGAUUGAUUAUUUUAGUUAAAACCAAACCAACCCAAAUGUAGUCUGAGUUUUUUUUCCAAUACUAAACCAAGUCAAAUCAAACCAUUAAUCAGAUUUUUUUUUGGUUUAACUCAAGUUGCAGUUUGAUUCGAUUUUCGGUUUGAUUUUGUAUACCCCUAAUUAGACAAUAGAAUUAUCAAUGCAUUUUGAUAUAGUAUUACUUAUAAAAUGAUUGUUUUUUUGUUCAUUUAUUCAAUUUAAAUAAAAUAAUACAUUAGAAGUAUGUUAUUUUAUAAAUUCAGAGGCGUAGCCAAGAUUAAAAGUUUGAGGGUUCUAAAUAUUCUUUUAAAAAGAGAAAGCGGGGUUCAAAGCUACAAUUUUAACGUGAAAAACAUUUUCAUGGUCUUUUUCUUAUAACUAUUGCACUGUCUAUCAAUUUUGUCAGGAGUUCACAAGUUAAUAGACAUAUACAUUUAUUUAAUUUUCUAGUACAAAUACAGGGUCCACGAAAAAGCUAUGAGUUCGUCCGAACUCAUGAACCCCACCUAUCUCCGCCUCUAAUUUUAUUAUAUGUAUCUUAGUAGAUGAUAUAACAUUUAAUAAUGUUAAAAAAUUGUAGUUACAUUCACAAUGAUGGUAAAAUGAAAUUUAAGGUAGACCGAUAUAGUUUUAAUUUUUGGUGUUAGUAUAUUUUGUAAGUAUGAAAACAAAUGAGGCGUUAGAUUGACUGGUAGAAUAUAUUUUUUAAAUUAUUAAAUGUUCUUAUAUUCUCAAAUUUGAUAUAAUUAUUAUAAUAUAUAUUAAUUGUCACUUUAUUUUCUAUUUAUAUAUAUAUAAUUAAUACUUGACUUUAGGAGAAUACUAAAUAAAAAUAUACUAAUAUUUAUUUAAUCUAAUUUUUUAAAGAACAUAAAAUUUAAAAUUAUGACAUAUAAAUAAAAAUGGAGGGAGUAAUUAAUAAAAUUUAUGUUUCAUUAUAUAUAAAUAUAAAAUUAUAAAGGGAAAAUGAAAGGCCUAUUACUGUAGAAUGUUGCGUAAAACCGUUGGAUCAACAGAGUUCUCCAGAAGCCUAUCGACAUCUCAUAUAUACCUUGCUAAGAAAUAUCCAGAAAGUUACGGAAGCCAAAAAGACACGAAAUAUCGAGAAAGUACUUGACACUCCUGAGGGACCUUAUAAAUACCAAACGUCUCCUUCUCCUAGAAUCAGUGUAAUUCAAAGAAGAAGAUUGUGAGAACAACAGUUUAAAAGCUUAAUUGAAAAUGUCACUAAUUCCUAGAAUUUUCGGUGAUCGACGAAGCAGCAGUAAGUUUGAUCCAUUCUCAAUGGACAUGUUUGAUUCCUUCAAGGAAUUAGGCUUUCCAGGUUCAAAUUCAGGGGAGAUCUCUGCAUUUGCCAACACUCGAGUUGAUUGGAAGGAAACUCCAGAAGCUCAUGUGUUCAAGGCCGAUCUUCCAGGGCUUAAGAAGGAGGAAGUGAAAGUGGAGAUCGUAGAAGAUAGGGUUCUUCAGAUUAGCGGAGAGAGGAACGUGGAGAAAGAAGAUAAGAAUGAUAAGUGGCAUCGCGUGGAGCGAAGCAGCGGGAAAUUCAUGAGGAGAUUUAGACUUCCGGAGAAUGCAAAGAUGGAUCAAGUUAAGGCUUCUAUGGAGAAUGGAGUGCUUACUGUUACUGUUCCAAAGGAACAAGUGAAGAAGCCUGAUGUCAAGUCUAUUGAAAUCUCUGGUUAAAAAUACAUUUGUCAAUUAAGUAGUAGUAUAUGAUGUAUGAACAAAUAAACAAUGGAUUAUGUCUGUUGAAGAUUUGAAGUUGCUCUGUUUUUCUAUUUAAGUCUUGAGUCUGCUCUGUUUCUGCUUAAUGGAGUAGUUGUACUUUUCCAAAUUCCAUGUUGAAUAUGAAAUACUAGUCUUUUUAUUAAAUUGUUAUUUCAUAUUUACGUAACUUCAAAAAAUAAUUAUUUAGCAAAUCUGAUUUUGUUUUUUUUAUUAUUCAAGUAAUUUUAUAAGAGUAACUUUUCAAGUAAAAUAAAAAAAAUUGUCGACACAAAUAAAAAACAUAGAUUUUGCUGAGAUCUCUCCAUAUAAGCUUUAGCUCAUACAGAAUUUGAACAACCGAUUGACCCGUACAUGAAUUGCGAGUCAUACUAGCCAGUCCACUUUUUUUAAAAUAUAUUUUUUAUAAUUUUAAAAUUAAAUUAGAGUAGGAUACGUCGGCCCAUGACCUUUAACGGGCCAGAACAAUGGAGUCCAUUAAAACAUAUUUAGGUUUUUCUUGCUUCCUAUAAAUACACCUGAAAAUUCUCUCUUCAAACAUAACUUUACUUUUCCCUUCUCUGCCGCAGCAAGAACUAAACAUGAAAGCCUGGUGUAUUUUUAUUUUAUUUUUCUUAAAUCAUGAAAUGCCUAUUAUUGCAAUUCUUUGAUAGUAAGUUAUUGAAAAAUGGAUUAUGGGAUCUACAGUAGGCAUUAUGCAAACAAUGCAUAUUUAUUUGUCGACUUGAUUCAUCUUUCUUUUUCCUUCAAAUAGUUUGUUUUUAUUUCUUUAUGGACUAUGGUGUGUAAGAAUGAUGAAGAAAUCAUUCGGAUUCCCACUGAUAUUUAUUCGUGAUUACUACAACCAGCUACUUCUGACUUCACAUCGUAAUCCAACCCUUUUUAAAUUUAAUUUUUAUGUAUUUUUAUAUGGAUUUGGAAUUUGAUACUUUGAAACAUAAAGGGCCGGUGAUGUAAGUAAAUAUUUGCUACUCUUGAUGGGAAUUUAUCAAAUUUCCAUCUGAUGAUUCUCUAUCCACCAAGAUCUCUGAGGCCUUGUUCUUAAAUCCUUUUUUCUUUCUAAAAUAAUUUUGAAGUUGCUCUGUUCUUCUAUCCAGGUUGAGUCGUUAAAAUGUACCAACAGUAUUAUAUUGUCCUUUUAUUCUGUUCAAAUAUAUCAUAUUUUUCUUUUACACUUCUUAAAUGGAUCGCAAACGUCUAAUGAUUAUUAUUUGCUUGUUUUGAUGCUUUAAAAUUACAUUAGGCAUAUACAGCACAUGGAUGUAACAUUAUUUCAACUUCGCAGGAUUACAAUAUCAAGAUUCAUCUUAUGGUAUAUAUUGAAUGAUAAUUAUAAUAUGGAAAGUUAACCCAUCCUUCUUUACUAUAUUUUCUAUUAUUUUUUUAUCAUUUUAAAAUAUUCUUAAAAUUUCUUUUUCCUCCUAAAACCAACCUUUGGAUACAUAACUUCUUAUUCCCAAACCCACUUUGUUUCUUCCGUUUACACUCAAUCAAUCUCUUCCUAUUUUUACUUUCACAAUCUUAUCAACUUAAUUGAUAAGAUUAUGUGAAAUUAAUUGAUAAGAUUGUGGAAGUGAAAAUGGAGAGAUAUAUUUUUACUUUCACAAUCUUAAGCUUAAGAUUGUGGGACAUUAAUUGAUAAGUUUGUCGGAGUGAAAAUAAGGAGAGAUUAAAGGAGUGAAAAAAGAAGAAAGAUAAACAUGAAUUUGGAAUGAGAAGUUUUGUUAGGGUUAAAAAGUGGAUUUAUUAAUAUUUUUAAAUGUUAGGGAAUAAUAAAAAAUAUGAUAAAUAAGGAUGUUUAGAUAAAUAAUUAUUCUAAAAACCAACACUAAACCAAUAAAUUAUGAAUUAACUCAAUAAUAUUUUAAAAUAUCAACAAUAAACCAACAAAUCAUUAAAUAACUCAAUAAUUUUAAAUUAAUAAUAUUUUUUCGAUUUACUUUAUUAAUCGAUUUGCAUGCUGCUGAUAAUAUCUAACCCUCCUUGUAAAGCAACCGAAAGUAACGGGCCGUUAAAAAUAACAAGAAACAGAGUUCCUAGAAAGUUAAGACGACUUGUCGAAUUGGGCCUGAUGAAGCCCAAUUUGCAUGUGAUCUGUAAUGUGGCCAGCGGGAUUUAUCCCGAAAGUUGUCGACAUCACCUUCCUGAAGUAUCUACUUGGCUCUAGAAAUGUCUCAUUGAUAGUAGAACUUACAAGUAUGGAGAAACUACUAAACACUUCUCUAGGAAGCUAUAAAUAACUAGCUAAUCCUUAUCCAUCAACCAUCAAAAAAUUAAAGCAAUUAAACACAAGAACAAACACAGAAAAUUCUCAAUAGCUCACUGAAAAUGUCACUGAUCCCAAGAAUCUUCGGUGAUCGACGAAGCACCAGCGUGUUCGAUCCAUUUUCAAUUGACGUAUUUGAUCCAUUCAAGGAAUUAGGCUUCCCAGUUUCCAAUUCAGGGGAGACCUCUGCAUUUGCUAACACUCGAAUCGAUUGGAAAGAAACUCCAGAAGCUCAUGUGUUCAAGGCUGAUCUUCCAGGGCUUAAGAAGGAGGAAGUGAAAGUGGAGAUCGAAGAGGAUCGUGUUCUUCAGAUCAGCGGAGAGAGGAACGUGGAGAAGGAAGACAAGAACGAUACUUGGCAUCGGGUGGAGCGAAGCAGCGGGAAAUUCAUGAGAAGAUUCAGACUUCCGGAGAAUGCAAAGAUGGAUCAAGUUAAGG